rnacentral:lncRNA from 1 species
UGGGUUCGUGGACAGUGAAAAGCUUCAGGCCAGAUAAAGAGCGAUACUCCGAAAUGGGCUGGACUCCCAACCAGAUUUUGAACCCCCCAGGCCCAGUUCUCAAGCAGUGGGAUCCAAGCAGCUUCACUUGCAGUUACUGGUAUCCUGAAGUAGGAGAUUGAAACCUCCCUGCGGUUUGCUCCAGCUCGUUAUGAAGAUGGGGGUCAUUGAUGAAAUUCAGCUCCAGACCUGGGUUCAGAUCUCAAUCACCCUCCACGUUCAGGGGUGUUGAGAUCUGGGUCUUUGGCUCGGGCUCACUAGCUGGGUUUUAGCUUGGCCAGGGUAGAGGGCUCAAUCUACCUCACCCCGCUGCCCUUCCUGUCCCCUUCUCGCCCUAGGCUUUCAGCUGGGAACCCUGCCAGGUGCUUUUGGGCGUGACAGCUGUACGGUGCCGUCCCCUUGUUGCCUGCAGUGUAUCUUUUGCUUUCAGUUUCAGGGGGAGAGUAUAAAGAACCCCAGAUAACAGCCUAGGGGCUAAGAAGAGACAGAUCGGAGCUCCCGGCCAGGCAGCAGAGCCAAGAUACCAUGGACGUGCAAAGCCAACCCCAGUUGCAGCAGAGGAAUGGCUGUUCACCAGUCCAGGUAGCUCUUCCCACCAAGGCUUGCGAUGCGACCUUCCAAGAGGUCACCCACCUCCACCCCUUCCUCAUCGGCCCAGCAACUGACACCAGAGUGUCCCUGACCAUCAGCAACGGCCCGAAAACCCUGCAACUGGAAGCCGAUCUCCAUGACACGGUCGAUCAGAUCAAGAAGCGGAUCAUGCAGGAGAGGAAAUUUGGUGGCUUGGGGUCCAUCAGCCUGUUGUAUGGGAAUCGGGAACUGCAGGGCUCGGAGAUCCUGGGGCAGCAGAAUGUGAAGAACCAGGCCACGCUGUUCAUCGUCCACAGAUGCAAUGGGGGAUAAAUGGGAUUAAAGAGUCACAAGGAGAAGCAUGCGUUAGACAGAACGCAUGCUAAUUGCUUGUUUCUACUUAUCGAUCUAUCUGCUUGCUAUGCACAGGCACCAGCUGCCUUGGUAACAAAUCCAAAUGAUCAUUUUUGCUUCAUAAAGUAUCAUUUCCAUGCUGUAAAAGCUACCUGCUUGAGUGGGCUAAAGGAUAUCAGAGGGCUAAGGGAUGAAAGGCUGGAACUGAAUUUUUGUAGACAACUGGCUGAGCCAGUUUCUUUAGUUAAUUUUUCUUACUGAAAUCCAAAUAAAUCUAAUAAAUGUGAAAUGCUAGACUGCCCG